rnacentral:RNase_P_RNA from 1 species
GGUGUCAGACAGCCGCUCGCCGAUCCGUCGGCGGGAGGAAAGUCCGAGCACGGUAGGACAAUGGUGGUGGGUAAUCCCCACCGGCCCUUGGCUGCGGGUCAGGGACAGUGCCACAGAAAAUAAACCGCCACGUUCGAAAGAGCGCGGUAAGGGUGCAACGGUGCGGUAAGAGCGCACCGCUCGACCGGUGACGGGCGAGGCAGGGCAAACCCCACCACGUGCAAGCGCAAGCAGCUCACUUCUCGGUUCGCCGAGAUCCCAUGGUUCAUGGGCGUGGAGCGGGUCGCGUGCUAGAUCCGAAUGGCAACAUUCGGAGUAGAGAAAUGGCUGUCAACGAGGUUUCCUCGUUCCAGAACUCGGCUUACGGCACCAAUG